rnacentral:rRNA from 1 species
GCCAUGGCCCGGAGAGGGUGCCAGGCCCGUAGGCACGGCGCGGACACCGCCUGGGGGCCCCGGAGAGUCGGGUUGCUUGAGAUUGCAGCCCAAAGUGGGUGGUAAACUCCACCUAAGGCUAAAUACGACCACGAGACCGAUAGCGAACAAGUACCGCGAGGGAAAGUUGAAAAGAACUUUGGAGAGAGAGUUCAAGAGGGCGUGAAACCGCUCGGGUGAAAAACGGGUGGAACCUCGAAGGGCGACGGGGGGAGUCAGACCUCCGGCUGGCGCUGCUGCGGUGCGCGUGGAUGGCUUUGGGUUCGGGUGGCUUCGCAAGGGGCUGCUCUCGCCUGGGUCUACCCCGCCUGCGGCUUGCGUCGGACGGGGAGCUCGCACUUCCUCCCGGGUAGGACGCCGCAGCCGGUUGGGCGGGCGGCCGAGGGCCUGGGCGCGAGUAGGCGCCUGCUUCGGCAGGUGCCCUCGUCCGGUGUCUUCCUGGCCGUCCUCCGACCGUGCCGAGGAGCUUGGAGGUUGCUUGCCGCUGCUGCCGCGGCGGGCUGCGCCGUCGUCUUUGCGGUUCCGUCGUGAGACGAGUUCUGCGGGCGGCGCGGUUGUCGGCUGGGCAUCGUGCGGUCGGGCGACCCCGGGGGCGGCGAGUACGAUCGGUGGUUCACCCGCCCCGUCUUGAAACACGGGCCAAGGAGUCUAACAUGUGCGCGAGUCGUCGGGUUUCCGAGCCGAAACCCGGAGGCGCAGUGAAAGCGAAGGCCGGUGCUUGUCACCGUGCCGAGGGGAGAUCCGGGCGGCGCGGGCCCAUCAUCCUGCCCGACAGCGGGAGGGCCUGCCUGCUCACCGGCGCAUCCUCGGGGCGUGCCGAGUCCCGUUGAGGACCGGGGCGCACCUAGAGCGCACACGUUGGGACCCGAAAGAUGGUGAUCUAUGCCUGGCCAGGACGAAGCCGGGGAAAACUCGGUGGAGGUCCGCAGCGGUUCUGACGUGCAAAUCGAUCGUCAGAGCUGGGUAUAGGGGCGAAAGACCAAACGAACCAUCUAGUAGCUGGUUCCCUCCGAAGUUUCCCUCAGGAUAGCUGGCGCUCGGAGGUUAAAGCUGUUGAGCGAGAGAGUCUCAUCCGGUAAAGCGACUGAUUGGAGGAACCCGGGUCGCUGGGACCUGGACCUACUCUCAAACUUUGAAUGGGUGAGAGGCCGGGCAUGCUUGAGUGAAUGAAGCCCGAGCUUGGAUCAGAGUGCCUAGUGGGCCACUUUUGGUAAGCAGAACUGGCGCUGUGGGAUGAACCAAACGCUGGGUUAAGGCGCCCGAAUCGCCGCUCAUGAGAUCCCAUGAAAGGCGUCGGCGGCUAAAGACAGCAGGACGGUGGCCAUGGAAGUCGGCAUCCGCCAAGGAGUGUGUAACGACUCACCUGCCGAAGCCACCGGCCCUGAAAAUGGAUGGCGCUAAAGCGGCGUGCCCAUACCCAGCCGUUGGGGCAGAGCUUGUCUUUGCGAGAGAACGUGAGUUUGAACGUGCCUUGUGUGGACCGCUCGGCCGUGGCGUGUGGCCCUGCUAGUAGCCCCCUUGGGGCGAACGCGGGGCGUGGCGCUGGGCCUUUGGGCGUGCCCGCCUUGGCGUGGGAUGACUCUAAGCGUCCGAUGGACACUUAGGUCCCCAACGAGUAGGAGGGCGCGGCGGUGGCGCUGAAGGUUCUGGGCGUGAGCCUGACUGGAGCCGCCGCCGGUGCAGAUCUUGGUGGUAGUAGCAAAGAAUCCGGCGAGAUCCCGGAGGACCGAUGUGGAGUAGGGUUUCGUGGCGCCGGCAAUCGGCCACGAGUGAGUCGAUCCUAAGCCCGGUGACAGUUCUGGUCAUCGGAGGGGCGAGAACUCUUGCAAGAGAGAGCUUGUUCGGCCCCUCCUGUACGGGCGAAAGGGAAGCCGGUGCAGAUUCCGGCACCCGGUCGCGGGCGCGUCCAAGGUAGGUCCUCUUCGGGGGGCCUACGGGGUGACCCAAAGAGACUCGGCGACACCGCCAUGGCCGCUGGGAAGAGUUGUCUUUUCUGCCUGAGCCUCGAACUCCCUGAAAGGCGGUUGCCGCGCGAAAGGGACGACGUGGCGAAGAGCGCCCCGCAUGGCCGUUGGCGCCGGGGCGUCCGGCGGGCUGUGGCGGUCCUUGA